rnacentral:lncRNA from 1 species
CACGUGUUUGUCUGCUGUGCUUGAAUUCAAAACGACCCAUCAGACUUAUUUACACGAAUUUUUGCUCAAGCAGACAGUUAAAUAUGUCCGUUUACCUUAUGGGGUCUGUUAAGAAUGGAUUUGCUGUUAUAAAUUGUGUAUGCAUGGAAAUAUAAGGAAGAUAACAUUGAUUUUUACCGUAACUUUUGAAUACACAACAUUCCCAAGGUAUCCCCACAAAACACAUGGCUACUUUGUAACGACGGCUGGUAACGUGUAGCCACUUUCUAACGGCAAAUUUAAUUGGAUGAUCUUCAAAGAUCAAUAAUAAAAUUGCUAAUAAAUGAUUGGAUACGAAUUUGUGUCAGAUUAUAAAUAGGUGAAAAAAUGUAAACAUUGAAAUCCGCCAUCUUGACGUAGGAAACAAACUAAUUUUCAGUCUUGGAUUAAAGGACAUUGCGCACAUUGCCAGCGUAUCAUGCAUAAACAGUCAUCUGCAAAUAUAU